AUUGAACGCUGGCGGCAGGCCUAAUACAUGCAAGUCGAACGAGUGGCGGACGGGUGAGCAAUUUCUUGGAAACUGCCUGAUGGAGGGGGCUAACUACUGGAAACGGUAGCUAAUACCGCAUACCAUCGGAUGUGCCGAGAUGGGAUUAGCUAGUCGGUGGGGUAACGGAUCACCUAGGCGAAGCUGCCUAGCUGGUCUGAGAGGAUGACCAGCCACACUGGAACUGAGACACGGCCCAGACUCCUACGGGAGGCAGCAGUAGGGAAUAUUCCGCAAUGGGCGCAAGCCUGAUGCAGCCAUGCCGCGUGUAUGAAGAAGGCCUUCGGGUUGUAAAGUACUUUCAGCGGGGAAGCGUUACCCGCAGAAGAAGCACCGGCUAACUCCGUGCCAGCAGCCGCGGUAAUUC
rnacentral:rRNA from 1 species